GACGAACGCUGGCGGCGUGCUUAACACAUGCAAGUCGAACGGAAAGGCCCUUCGGGGUGCUCGAGUGGCGAACGGGUGAGUAACACGUGGGUGAUCUGCCCUGCACUUCGGGAUAAGCCUGGGAAACUGGGUCUAAUACCGGAUAGGACCAUGGCAUGCAUGUGCUGUGGUGGAAAGCUUUUGCGGUGUGGGAUGGGCCCGCGGCCUAUCAGCUUGUUGGUGAGGUUACGGCUCACCAAGGCGACGACGGGUAGCCGGCCUGAGAGGGUGACCGGCCACACUGGGACUGAGAUACGGCCCAGACUCCUACGGGAGGCAGCAGUGGGGAAUAUUGCACAAUGGGCGCAAGCCUGAUGCAGCGACGCCGCGUGGGGGAUGACGGCCUUCGGGUUGUAAACCUCUUUCAGCACAGACGAAGCGCAAGUGACGGUAUGUGCAGAAGAAGCACCGGCCAACUACGUGCCAGCCGCCGCUGUAAAAC
rnacentral:rRNA from 1 species